GGUAAUCCACGUAGUUGCCAAAUGGAUGGACGCACGAUCUCAACCAAUAUAGAUUCUUGAUUCAGUCGUUCUACCUGCAAAAGGCAUCCGGACAAGGUGUCCGAACGCACCCUCCGACGGUUUUAUCAGCCAUGGUUAGAGAGAGAUAAAUCAGUUGGCCUUUUACUAGGUAUAGCAAGCUUACCUUCCUCUUUGUGUGAAGGUUCGUAUAUAUAGUAUCAGAAGCUUUGUUCCCCUCUUUAAUGGUGGGGAGAUAUUUUGUGUUGUCAUGAUGACACUAGGUGGUGGUAGGGGCAUCAUCACCCUACGGGCGACUGACAGAGAUCGUGGUAGGUGAUGCGGCUGUUAGAGAUUGUGGUAGGUGAUUGUGGGAAGUGACUUGUUGUCACUUCAUCUUGUCUUUUCACUCUACAGGUGGUGGAACGUGGGCCAUGGCAGGCUGUUGUGAUAACAUGCAAGACUUGCUUACUUCAGUCAAUGAUCUGGACAAACGUAUCUGGAUGGCCUAUGUUGGUCGUCCGGAUGUUAUGCUUAUGCAUGUCGUGUGCCUCUCCUUGAGGUAGUCCGGAUAGGAGAAGCGGGCCACGUGCACUCUUAGGGAAAUCCGGAUGAGAGUGAUCCGGAUGAUAAUGCAUGCCACGUGUCACCAUGAGGUGUGUGGCACGUGUUCUUAGGAGAAGGGGUCCCUACAAUGCCCCCCUUUUUAACUUGCCCAUUUUGCCCGAGCAAAAUGGGCGGGUUAAAAAUAAUUGGUUUUUUUUAAACUGAGUUUAUUUUUUGCACUCAUUGGGCCACGUGGCGAGCGGGGGUGAAGAGAGAGAAAAGCAUUUAUGAUGAGCCGUCGUCUCUGUGUAUUCCCAGGCAGCAUGUCGUUUCAAUGAUAGCGUAGCUGAUCGUUUGGUACACCGAGGGGCUGUCCCCCUAUAAAUAGCAUACUGUGCCUUCUGUUACACUUUUCCUACUGCGUUUUUUCCUAUCAGUGCUGCUUCUCCUUCCUUCUAUGUUCUCUUUUGUUUUCUGAGUGAAGCCCUAGGGUUUCCUGCCGAUGAUUUUUGCGUCUUACCGAUGACUGUACUGCGGAUUUCAACCCUAUUCUUCCAGAUUUACACUUGGUACGUGCAUUGUUCUUGUCUUUUCCUUGUUGCGUUUUGUCUUUGUUGGUUUGUUUCUGGUUUGCUUGGGCAAGUUGCUUGCGACUGUGUGUGUGAAUGUUGGUGUUUUUUGGUUUCUAGGGUUUUUGUUGAGGGUGUUUUGACUGUUGGUACCUCUUUCAUGCAGUUUUUACGAAGCUAAAAAAUGUAUGUGAACCAGGAAGUGACCUCAUCUAGCCCAUGCGGCGCUGCUCAUGCCAAAAGGUCUGUGGACAAAUUGAGUGUGAAGGAGUUCCGCGAGCGAUUUUGCAUUCCCAACGGUGUAUCUGUUGAACUGACCGACGGGGAGGCUGUAUCGACUGAAAACAAUGAAGACCAUGCUAUAUUCUUUAGCAAUGAGCAAUUCAACACCGGCCUCCGGUUCCCCCUUUCGUCGCUGUUCAAGGAGUUCUUGCAUUUCAGCCAAAUUCCCCCGGCAUAUAUUCAUCCAAAUAUGGUCCGGGUGUUGAUGGGGUGCAACAUCCUGAAUAUGCUGUUUAAUUUGGACCUCUCUCUACUGGAGGUGUUGUUCAUCUAUUCGAUCAAGAAGCUGAAAACUGAUAUCUUCAACUUUGUCGCUUGCCUUCCGUCCAUGCAGUUGGUGACCAGUCUGCCGGACUCAACCAAGGGGGCUGCCAAGGGCCAUGUGCUGGUGAAGGGCUUAUGGGCGGGUUUAGGGAUGCAUCUGGACAGGCCUUUUGCUCCCAACCGAUCGUUGAAGGUCCCCGGUAUGGUUAGAUUAUCUUUUUUUUUCCCAUGUUUUGCGAGUUUAGGUCAAUAUUGUUGGGUUGCUGACAUACUUUUGCUUUCUUGGGUGCAGGCCAGAAUAAAAGGGGAAAAUAGGUGGAGUGGGUGGAGAAGGCCUCGUUCAACCAUUUGAACAAGCUCUUCAAGAUUGCGGCAGCCGAGCGGAGUUGCGACACGCUGCUUUCUGCGUAGAACCUCCUCUCGGUCAUGAAGGAGCCUCAGCCAUACGUGCUGAACAUACUCCCGAGACGGCUGCCUAAAGAGGUUGUGGCUGGGGAGCACUUUGUCCUUCAAGAUCUGCCCUUCUACGCGGCGGUGCAGAAGGUAGACGCCCGGACACGCCAAGCCCGCCUAACUGAUCGGGAGGUAAAAAGGAAAGAAAGGCUCUUGCGGAAGGCUCCGGGCGGCAAACGGUCCACGCCUUCUCCUGCUGGCGCUCCAGCAAAGAAGAAGAAGAAGGUUUCCACGAAGGGGAAAGAAGUAAAACUGCCAACUCCCCCGAAGGAGUUUGUAAUCCCUCCUGUUACCUAUGAGAAGGAGGUAAUAAUACAGGAGCCCGAAAAUCCUCUUCCGCCCUCUAUUUCAAGUGGCCUCGGACAUGUCGCGGGUUUGAACCACUCGGGGCCCUCCUUGUCAGUGGCUGCCCGCUUGGCUCUUUUGGCCGAAGAAGUUGCGUCAAUAAAUCAACCCGGCUCUCCCCACCAGGAUGUGGACGUAGCCGAGGCCGUUUGUGCGGAAGUAUCGCCUCUUAUGGCGACCCCAAUGGAGGAAAUGGGGGCAGAAAGCCAGAGUCUGCCUUCAGGCGGGCCAAGCCUUCCUGCCUUUGUACCGGUGAAGGGGUCAGCUUUAAGGAGGUCGAGUUCGGCGUGCAACUUAAAGUCUGGCCUCAUCGAGCGGCUUCAAGAUCGAUUCCAGGAAACCAUCAAAGUUAGUUGCUCAUCCGUCCAGGAUGACCAUCCGGAGAGGAGCGAGACAGAGAUGACAACUGAGACCCCAGCCGUCCCGGUGGUGGUCCCGGAUGAGGGUACGCCCGGAGAGACCCAGCCGGCUAAAAAUGAGGGGGCCCCGGACUUGGAGGAGGAGUCAUCCUCCAACGCCUGAUCAGGGGGGAGUCUUGUUGAUGAUGCGGCUUGCAUCUCUGCUGGCUCUUUUAGCUAUGCAGAGUUGGAAGAGAAGCUGAAAUAGAUUCCAUCCGGCUUGACCGUUGCCAUGCCUUCAGCAAGGAUGUUCGAAGUGGUGGAAACGGUAUAGUGUACUUCUUGAUUUUCUUUGCCAUGCUGAUGUGUUUGUGGUAUGGUUUGUAAUUUCGCUUUUCUUGCUUGUGUGUUUGUCUACAGCUGGUGAGUGGUCUUCGCGGCAUGGCCCAACAACACGAUCUAUUUACUGACCUGCUGCGGAUCGCUAAUUACAUGAAGGCCUUCACCUCUCAGCGCAAAAACAGUGAAAAUCAGCUGCGCUUGAGACUGGAGGAAGCCGAAGCCAGUUUAUCCACCGCUCGAGGGGACAAUGAGGCUCUCCGGGUGGAUUUAGUUGAGGCAAAGAGCCGGGAGGAGUCGAUGGAUGCCCGCUUGCAUGAGGCGGAGGAUGAGGUGGCUCUCUUAAGGGGGGAGGUGAGGCAACUCCGGACGGAGGUAUCCAUUGAAAAGAAGCAGAAGGAAGAUUUGCAGCUGCGCUUAUCAGCACAAAAAGAAGAGCUGGAGGGUGAGUUUGUUGCAGAGAGAGAGGAGCUUGAAGCGGACUACCAGAAGCAAGUAGAUGAUAUGUUCUUCUUCGGCUAUCGCUGCUGUAUGAAGAAACAUGACAUUAAACGGGAUGUCCCUUCAAUUCCUCCGAGUGAAAAGAAGAAGCUGCUUGACAAGCCUGCUCCCUGAUAGCUUUUCUUUUUGUAAUUUUUGCUGCUAUCUUCUUUCUGUAUUUUUGUAGUCCAGAGACCUCUUUGUAUAUACCUUCACAAACAUUAAUAAAACAUUCUUUAUUCUCAUUUGUGCUUGUCUUCUUUCUUUCAUUGAUAAUACUGCUUUAAAUUGGACACAUUCCACGAUCUAAGUAAUGGCGUUCCGUCUAACUUUUGUAGGUGAUAAGCUCCACUUUCACUUGACUUAGAUACUAUAUAGGGUCCUUCCCAGUUGGCUCAAAAUUUUCCUACUCCCGUUUCGACAGUAUUUUCAAAAACUUUCCUAAGGACCAGCGUACCAUUUUUGAAGCUUUUGGGCCUUACUUUGCGAUUGUAAUGAGCGGAUGCCCUUUGCUGAUAGUCUGUCAUCCGGAUGGCUGCGCUUUCCCUUACUUCAUCUGCCCAAUCCAAGUUUCUUCCUAACUCCGUGUUUGCAUCAUCUUGCUUUGCUGUCUCAGUCCGGAUAGUGGGUAACCCUAUUUCGGUAGGAAUGACUGCGUCCAUACCGUAUGCGAGGGCAAAGGGAGUGUUUCCUGUUGGGCGCCCGGGUGUGGUUCGAUAGGCCCAUAGGACGUCGGGUAACUCUUCCACCCAUUUUCCUUUGGCUUGCUCGAGCCUUUUCUUUAAGGCAGUGAUUAAUGUUUUGUUUGUGGCUUCUGCUUGCCCGUUACUUUGAGGAUAACGUGGUGUGGAGUAUGAAUUCUGGAUGUUCAGUUCCGAACAGAAAUUCCGGAAUGCGAUGCUAUCAAAUUAUGGACCGUUGUCGGCUGUAAUGGUUUGAGGGAUUCCAAAGCGGCAGAUGAUGUUUUUCCAUACGAAUUUGGUGACAUCUUUGUCUUUGAUGCUUGCAUAUGCUUCAGCUUCCACCCAUUUACUGAAGUAACCCGUGGCGACAAGUAGGAAUUUCUUCUGAGCAGGUGCGGCCGGGAGGGGUCCCACUAUGUCCAUGCCCCAUUGUGCGAAGGGCCAUGGGCCUGAGAUCGGCUUCAAUGUCUCUGACGACAUAUGUGGAAUGGGAACAUGCCUUUGACAUUUAUCAUAUUUUUUUACAUAGGCUGCGACAUCUUUCUUCAUGGCGGGCCAAUAAUAUCCUUGUGAAUGGGCCCUAUGCGCUAGAGACCGUCCUCCAGAAUGAUUGCCACAUACUUCCUCGUGUAACUCAGAUAACACAUACUAGGCCUCUGAAUGACUUAGGCACCGAAAGUAGGAACCUGUGAAAGAGCGCUUGUACAGGUGCCCCCCAAUCAGAGUGAAACGGGCGGCUUGUACCCAGAUCUUGUGUGUUUGCUUGGGAUCUUCGGGCAAAGUGCCUGUCCGGAGGUAUUCUGUGAUGUUGCUCGUCCAUUCUUGGUUGUCUACUUGGCUUGCCUCAAUGGUGUUGCAAGUGGAGGUUUCUGCGACAGAAGGAUUGGUUUGCACAUGUAUAGGCAACAGAAUAGCUUCUUUGAUAGGGAGGGAGGCAACUAUGCCGGCCAAGGCGUCGACGCGCCCAUUUUCAUUUCGUCUGAUUUUUUCGAUUGUCCACUCGGUGAAUCGUUGUAAGGUGUCCCUUACUUUAGUUAGAUAUCGCGCCAUGCGCGCAUCCUUGGCCUCGUAUUCCUUCUGGAUGUGUCUUACUACGAGUUGCGAAUCGCUAUAGACCCAAAGCUUGGAGACGGAUAGAGCCAGAGCAAGGUCCAAUCUGGAUAAGAUGGCCUCAUAUUCUGCUUCAUUGUUGGAGGCAGGGAACCCCAGCCGGAUGGCUUGCUCCAGGUGUUCCCCUGUUGGGGACUGUAGCAGAAGCCCGACUCUGGACCCUGAUGAUCGUGAGGCUCCAUCAACUCGCAAAGUCCACCACUAUUUUUCACUUGAUUCCUAGCGUUGGCUAGGUUUUCGGGAAUAUUCCAGCACGAAGUCAGCCAUUACUUGGCCUUUCAUGGACAAUCUGGGUUGGAAUUCGAUUCCAAACUCGCUCAAUUCGAUAGCCCAUUGCAGCAUUCUUCCGGUUAAGUCUGGUUUGUGCAGAAUGUUACGAAGGGGUUGGUCGGUCAGCACGACCACCGGGUGGGCUUGGAAAUAGGGGCGGAGCUUUUGGGCAGCGCUUCGAAGGGCUAAGGCUGUUAGCUUCAUUUUUGAAUACCUGGUUUCUACGUCUUCCAAUGCUUUGCUGACGUAGUAGAUAGGUUUCUGCUCCUUAGGUGAGGGGCAACGGAAUAGAACAGCACUGAUUGCCCACUCCGAUACAACCAGAUACAUGUAUAAUUUUUCUUUUGGGAUGGGGUUGCUCAAGAUGGGCGGCUGCAUAAGACAGUGUUUAAUCUUUUCAAAAGCGUUUUGAUAGUUGUCCGUCCAUCCGUUUGUUCCAGCUUUUGGUAUUGCCAAGAAGAAGGGUUGCAAUUCAUCAGUGAAGCGGGCUAUAAAACGCCCUAGCGCGACGAGCUUGCCUGUGAGGCGUUGUAACUCCUUCUUGUUCCUGGGUGGUGGUGUUUCUAUGACUGCCUUGACUUAAUCCGGACUGACCUCUAUGCCUCUUUGGCUGACCAUAAACCCCAAGAAUUUGCCAGCGCUUACACCAAAGGCGCAUUUAGAAGGAUUCAGCUUCAUGCCAUAUUUCCUCAAGAGGUGAAAAACUUCUUGUAAGUGAAGAACAUGCUCAUCUCGGGUUUUGCUUUUAACCACGAUAUCGUCAAUAUAUACCUCUACCGUGUGGCCUAUCAGAGGUUUGAAGAUCUUUGUCAUCAGUCUUUGAUAAGUGGUGCCAGCGUUUUUGAGCCCGAAUGGCGUGACUCUAUAGCAAUAAAGGUCGUGUGGCGUUAUGAAUGCUAUUUUUUCCUCAUCAGCCGGGGACAUGGGGAUCUGAUGAUAUCCGGAGAAGGCAUCCAAGAAAGAGAACAUCCCUUGCCCAGCAGUAGAAUCCACGAUUUGAUCUAUUUGUGGCAAAGGGAAACUGUCUUUUGGACACCCACCAUUUUCCUUCUUUUUUGGGUACCACCACUACGUUUGCUAACCAGUCCGGAUAAUCUACUUCUUUGAUGAAUCCGGCUUCUAGCAAUUUGUCAAUCUUAAUCCGGAUGAUUUUUUGUCUAUCCGGGUGGAAACGUCUAACCUUUUGCCGGAUGGGUCUGGCUGUUGGCAAGACGUUAAGUUUAUGGGAGGUAAUUGUGGGAUCAAUUCCCUUCAUAUCAGAAUGUGUCCAUGCGAAGAUGUCAUAGUUUUGUCUGAGGGCGCCUUGCAUUUUUUGGGUUUCUUCUGGUGCGAGGAGGGAACUGAUAUUCGUAAGGUGAGUACCUUCUUCCGUAAUUUGGAUUGUUUGCAAGGGAUCUGCUGCCAGGGGAUCUUUGUCCACCGGACCCAAUAAUUGCUAUUGGUCAUGCGGAUUACUGGACUCAGGGAGGGAUGCAUCCUCCUGGCUGAUCCCUGUUUCUCGUGCUAUCUGGUAGCAUUGGCGAACGGCUAACUGGCUGCCAUAUAGAUUAACUUGCCCAUCCUUGGUAAGGAAACUUACCAUUUGAUGAUAUGUGGAGGGGAUGACUUUCAUGUAGUGUAGUCAUGUGUGCCCCAAGAUGACAUUGAAGGGCGAUAAAUCUUGUACCACCGAAAAUUGUACGUUGAGAGUGACUGGGCCAGCUUGGACCGUUAGUAUAAUGUCUCCCAAGGACGUAGUUGACGACCCGUUGAAUCCUGACAGGAUUCGUCCAGGGUUUUCGAGGCCUAUGAGACUGUGUCCCGUGCGGCCAACGACCGAUGCUUGCACAAGAUCGGCCGAGCUGCCUGGGUCAACCAGGAUGCGUCUCACAUCGAAGUCUCCUAUCUCUAGGGACAGGAUGAGUACGUUGCAAUGUGGUUGUAGUGUCCGGGUGGGAUCUACUGGUGGGAAAAUGAUUGUCCCAUCUAUGGGGCGAGGGCCUCCUCCAGUUAGUCCAGGCCGGAUGGAAUUAAUGCAUUCGCGUAUUGAUGUGGCUGGCAACAAUUUCUGCCUUUUUCGUCUGGAGUCAUACUCCUCAUCAGAUGGGUCUCCGUUAAUAUAGUUUAUAACGGCCUUGGGGGCGGCUGGGGCCUUGGGGGCUCCAGAGUUGUGAUGUUGGGGAGCGCCCCUACCCUCAACAUCUGUGCGGAGGUACUGCUUUAAAUGUCCUGCUUUGAUGAGCCUCUCGACCAGAUACUGGAGGCACCUGCAUGUCUCUGUUGUGUGACCAUGUUCUUUGUGGAAGACACAUCUCUUGCUAUGAUCUCUUGUGGAUGGGUCCAUUCCGAUGGGUCUAGGCCACUUGAAGUCGAACAAACCCUGGAUCAUCGGGAGAAGUUUCUCAUAUGAUAUGGAAAGAGGUGUGAGAGGCGGCCUUUCCGGGCGACUUGGCCCUUCCUGCCUUCGGUUAGACGGCCUUGGCCGGUCCGAUAGUUUAGCAUUUCUUUCCACGCCACCUCUAGAUGCCUGUCCAGCAACCAAGACUUGCUGGGUGGCCGCCCGUACGUCAUCUUCGAGCAUUGAGUAUUUGUUUGCACGUCUGAACAAGUCGUCCAUCGUUGUAGGAGGCUUUUUAGCUAGUGAUUCGAAAAAUGGUGUGCCUGGACAGAUGCUUCGCUUGAAGAUUUGUAGGACAGCAUCCAUACUGCAAGCCUCUACUUGAAGCACGGCUUGACCAAACCGCUUCACGAACUCCCGUAAGGAUUCGUUAUCCCGCAUUUUUAUGUUUUGCAGAGUGCUGAUGUUCUGCUUGUGUCGAGCGGAACAUAAGUACUGUCCCACGAAAGCUUCGGACAGGUCCCUGAAAUUGUCAAUAGAAUUGGGAGGUAGGCGGUGAAACCAUAAAAGGGCCUGCCCUUGUAGACUGGCGGGGAAUACUUUGCACAGCAGCUCGUCGUUGCCAAUAUCGAGUGUCAUGAGCUGUCGAUAAUGCAUGAUAUGGUCGAAGGGAUCGCUGGACCCAUCGUAUGUGGAAAAUUUUGGUACGAGGAAUCCCCUUGGGAGCUUGUAAUGAAUGAUAUGAGAGCAGAAGGGCGUGGAGAGCAUGUCGUCCAGCCUUUUGCUGAUGGAUCCAAUGGGUGGCUCGUUUGGGAGGUUUCUCCCAGCCUGUUGUACCUCUAGGUGCGAGUGAACGUUCCACACCAUGGAGGUGACCAUAGGGUCACGGUGCGGGAGCACGUUCUGCACCAUGGGGGUGACCACAGGGUCAGGGCGUGCUGCCCAGGUUGUGGCUGCUGGUGGCCUUGGUCUCCCAGGCUCUUAUGGGCCUAGUCUUGCGCGCAUUGAAUUUGACAACUGGGAUUUUCUAUCGCGUAGUCUUUUUGUUAAAAAAUGAGUGGAGUCCGAGCUUUCCUCACGGGGAGCUUGAGGCCUGGGCGUGUGUGGCUCAUGUGGCCUCACGUUGUAUGUUUCUGGGAUAGCUCCCACUGUCCCAGGAUAUAUUGACUCUGGUUCUAGCCUCAAGUUUGCUACCUGGCCUCUCAAAUGCUGACGACGAGGAGGCCCCGAUGUUGAAGCCUGGAUGCGUAGUACCGCGUUUUCUUUUCUUAAUCUUUCUGUCUCCUGGAGGAGAGCUUUCAGUUGUCAUUCGCUUGCCAACUGUCUUCUUUCGAUGGCUUGGCGCCAUUCAGAAUUAUCUUCCUCUCCCCUACCAGAUGAACGGCUUCGGGAAGGUGUGGCCAUAUUUACUGGUGACUGAAUUAGUGAUAUUUUCCCACAGACGACGCCAAUGUUGAGGCCUCGCGUCCCUGGUAAUCCACGUAGUUGCCAAAUGGAUGGACGCACGAUCUCAACCAAUAUAGAUUCUUGAUUCAGUCAUUCUACCUGCAAAAGGCAUCCGUACAAGGUGUCCGGACGCACCCUCCGACGGUUUUAUCAACCAUGGUUAGAGAGAGAUAAAUCAGUUGGCCUUUUACUAGGUAUAGCAAGCUUACCUUCCUCUUUGUGUGAAGGUUCGUAUAUAUAGUAUCAGAAGCUUUGUUCCCCUCUUUAAUGGUGGGGAGAUAUUUUGUGUUGUCAUGAUGACACUAGGUGGUGGCAGGGGCAUCAUCACCCUAUGGGCGGCUGACAGAGAUCGUGGUAGG
rnacentral:lncRNA from 1 species